CGACCUCCGCGAGUUGGCUCAUUCGCAUCGCAGCCGUCCAUCCUCCCCUGCGGAACCGUCGGCCUCCGGAACGGCCGCAAUCGCCGCCGCCGCCGCCGACGACGACAGGUCCAUUCUCUCUCUCUACACCGAGCUCAGCAUGUCGCAGUUCAGGGGCUCCGGUCACUGAAAACCCCGGGCGAAAUCUCGCAGAGCCAGUGACGCGCGUGCGGUUGAGAAAUGGAGCAGCGAGCUUGCUUUCGUUUCGGUUUCCAGCUUCGUUUUUUGUUAGGGUUUUCAGGCGGUGUAUCGACGGGGGCUGUCGAGCUGUCGAGAUUGCGCUGUGGAAGAAGGUAUGGCGAAGUGCCAAUGUGCAGUGGAGAUGCUGCGGGGUCAAGAAGGCAUCGGACCGUGACGACGUUGUGGUAUUUUCGAACUAAUGAGCAAGAGAGCGAGUAUUGAGAUCGGUAAGAAUGGAUUUUUAUGCGUGGGAUGCUUUCGUUCGGAGGUGGCGUGGCAAGAGUUGGUAGUUCGGUUUUGAUGUGCGAGCGAGCGAGCGAGCGAACGAAGAGUAGGUUGCGGAAGCAUUUCUCCGAGAGUGUGGGGUUGUUUUCUUGGAGGGCUUUCGCGCCGUGAAUGAUGCUGAAUUUUGGUCGAGAGCUGUGUAGGGGGAGAGUCGAUUUGUUUGCUGUUGCUGCUGCUCUCUUCAUCGAAUUGGACGAUCAGUUUUUUUGGCCUUUCAUUAUGAUAUGUUGAUUUUCUUUUAUGUUGUCUCACAGCAUAUUGUCGGUUAAUUGCUUUGCUGAGGGGGCUUGCUGUCUGGCUUUAGCUUCGAUGUCUGUGGCUUUCGUGUUUAUAUUCAUCUUGGAAGUUCAGAAUUACUUUUAGUUUGCAAUGGAUCUACUUGUUUAUUAACCUAGUUUGAAUGGUGUGCCUGAUGUCCUCUGUCACGAUGAGGUGUAAUUUACAAAGCAAUGUCGUUUAUCGAAGAAUUUGACAUAGUUUUUUCAGUCUAUGGACGUGCUCGAAGCUCUCUAUCUUGCUUUCUCUUGCCCUUUGUUUUUUCAGUAAUUCCCAUGACUUGAUGUUGGCAUUCCUGUUGUUUUCUAGAUUGGACUGCUUCUUGUUUUAGGUAGAUUAAUUGGUUGGACAAUGUUUACAGUCGUUGACAUUAUUCGCCCGUCGCUUGCAAAUUUGACAGAACAAUUUGACAUGGGUGGCUAAUGUCUUGUGAUCCUUUUCUCUUUUUCCUUGACGGAAAACACCUAUAUGUUGUAGCUUGGUCCACUGUCACAAUAUAUUACUUUUCACGUAAACUAGCAAACAGUGAUUGUCUGUAAACUUACAUGUACUUUCCUGUAUUGCCUUAUGGCUGAAGAUUAAAGUGUAUGUUAGCUUGCUUAUGUAGAUAAUGAACAGAGGAGGAGGAGCAGGAGCAGGACUAGGUAGUGGGAGCAGGCCCACAGCUGCUGCAGCUGCCCAGAAGCAGAAGACACUCCUACAAAGAGUUGAAAAUGACAUUGGCAACAUUUUGUCGACAAUUUCAGUCAUCUUGUGAAUGUUGCCAGAUUAUGUAUACAUUUCUCCUUGCCAUCUUCCAGUCUGGAAAGUUUUAUCCCUCUCAGUAACAGUCAUAACUACAGUUGAGAUUAUCCAUGCUUUUCCUUUGUGUGGCUAGGUGGAUCAUUGACAAGCCGUCUCUUUGUCACUUAUUGAUUACCAUGUAGUGUGAGGUCUACAUUUGCUUCAGUGUAUUGGCUUGAUGCUAGACUUAGGUAUCAUGAAGUUAUGUCAAUGGAUAGGAGGGAGGUUGCUUGGGCUCUUGUAAGCUGCUGAAAUUGGGAAAGACAUUUUUUCCAUGAUCUUGUUCUUCAUGAAUGGAGGAUUGAAAUUUUUUUAAUAUAUUCCAAAUGG
rnacentral:lncRNA from 1 species